rnacentral:tRNA from 1 species
GCCAAUAUAGCUCAGCCUGGCAGAGCAUCGGUUUUGUAAACCGAGGGUCGAGGGUCCAAAUCCCUCUAUUGGCUCCA